AUGAGCGGCGGAGGCCCGCCCAGGAAGCGCAACUUCAAGAUCGAGGCGUUCAAGCACCGGGUGGAGCUCGACCCCAAGUACGCGGAGCGGACAUGGAAGGUCCUCGAGCACGCCAUCCACGAGAUCUACAACCACAACGCCAGCGGCCUCUCCUUCGAGGAGCUCUACAGGAGUGCCUACAACAUGGUGCUUCACAAGUAUGGCGAGAAGCUCUAUAAUGGCCUUGAGAGCACUAUGACAUGGCGUUUGAAGGAAAUAUCAAAAUCAAUAGAGGCUGCGCAGGGUGGUUUGUUUUUGGAAGAGCUGAAUGCGAAGUGGAUGGAUCACAACAAGGCAUUGCAGAUGAUCAGGGAUAUUCUAAUGUACAUGGAUCGGACUUAUGUCCCGACAUCCCAUAGGACACCUGUUCAUGAGCUUGGUCUGAAUUUGUGGAGGGAUCAUAUAAUUCACUACCCAAUGAUCCAUGGUCGGCUGCUUGACACCCUUCUAGAUCUUAUUCACAGAGAAAGAAUGGGUGAAGUGAUCAAUAGAGGCCUGAUGAGGAGCAUUACAAAGAUGUUAAUGGAUCUUGGUCCUGCUGUAUACCAAGAUGAUUUUGAGAAACCAUUUUUGGAAGUUUCCGCUAGCUUCUACAGUGGGGAAUCUCAAGAGUUCAUUGAGUGCUGUGAUUGUGGUAACUACCUUAAGAAGGCUGAGAGGCGGCUCAAUGAGGAAAUGGAGCGUGUCUCACACUACUUGGAUGCUGGCAGUGAGGCAAAGAUAACUAGCGUGGUGGAGAAAGAGAUGAUAGCCAAUCACAUGCAUAGAUUGGUCCACAUGGAAAACUCUGGCCUUGUUAACAUGCUUAUAGAUGACAAAUAUGAAGAUUUGGGUAGGAUGUACACCUUAUUCCGAAGGGUUCCUGAUGGUCUAUCAACAAUCAGAGAUAUGAUGACUUCAUACCUAAGGGAAACAGGGAAGCACUUAGUGACAGAUCCAGAGAGAUUGAAAGACCCAGUGGAAUUUGUUCAGUGCUUGUUAAAUGAGAAGGAUAAGCAUGAUAAGAUCAUCAAUGUUGCUUUUGGCAAUGAUAAAACCUUCCAAAAUGCUCUGAAUUCAUCCUUUGAGUUCUUCAUCAACUUAAACAACAGGUCACCUGAAUUCAUAUCACUGUAUGUUGAUGACAAACUCCGCAAAGGAUUGAAAGGGGCAACAGAAGAGGAUGUGGAGGGUAUACUGGACAAAGUCAUGAUGCUGUUUCGGUACCUUCAGGAGAAGGAUGUGUUUGAGAAGUACUAUAAGCAGCAUUUGGCGAAAAGGCUUCUGUCUGGCAAAACUGUUUCUGAUGAUGCUGAGAGGAGUAUGAUAGUCAAACUCAAGACAGAAUGUGGGUACCAGUUCACCUCCAAAUUAGAGGGUAUGUUCACUGACAUGAAGACAUCUCAGGACACCAUGCAGGAUUUCUAUGCCAAGAAAUCCGAGGAACUUGGUGAUGGCCCUACACUUGAUGUCCACAUUCUCACAACUGGCUCUUGGCCAACACAACCCAGCCCUCCCUGCAGCCUUCCACCUGAAAUCCUUGCAGUAUGUGAGAAAUUCCGUGGAUAUUAUCUUGGAACUCACAGUGGGCGGAGGUUAACAUGGCAAACAAAUAUGGGAACAGCUGAUAUAAAGGCCACGUUUGGGAAAAGCCAGAAGCAUGAGCUGAAUGUCUCCACUUACCAGAUGUGUGUUCUGAUGUUGUUCAACACUUCCGAUGGGCUUACCUACAAAGACAUCGAGCAAGCUACCGAGAUACCUUCCACAGACCUAAAGAGAUGUCUCCAGUCUCUUGCUUGUGUCAAGGGGAAGAAUGUUCUCCGUAAAGAGCCCAUGAGCAAGGACAUAUCAGAGGAUGACACAUUCUAUUUCAAUGACAAGUUCACAAGCAAGCUUGUUAAGGUGAAGAUCGGGACAGUGGUGGCGGCAAAGGAAUCUGAGCCAGAGAAGCAGGAGACCCGCCAGCGGGUUGAGGAGGACAGGAAACCUCAGAUUGAGGCUGCCAUCGUCAGGAUCAUGAAAUCUAGGAGGGUCUUGGAUCAUAACAGUAUUGUAUCUGAGGUUACCAAGCAAUUGCAAGCUCGGUUCUUGCCGAACCCUGUUAUCAUAAAGAAACGCAUAGAAUCUCUGAUCGAACGCGAAUUCUUAGAGAGGGACAAAGCAGAUAGAAAAUUAUAUCGCUAUCUUGCAUAA
rnacentral:rRNA from 1 species